rnacentral:rRNA from 1 species
GACGAACGCUGGCGGCGUGCUUAACACAUGCAAGUCGAACGGAAAGGCCCUGCUUUUGUGGGGUGCUCGAGUGGCGAACGGGUGAGUAACACGUGAGUAACCUGCCCUUUACUUUGGGAUAACUUCAGGAAACUGGGGCUAAUACCGGAUAGGAGCUCCUGCUGCAUGGUGGGGGUUGGAAAGUUUCGGCGUUUGGGGAUGGACUCGCGGCUUAUCAGCUUGUUGGUGGGGUAGUGGCUUACCGAGGCUUUGACGGGUAGCCGGCCUGAGAGGGUGACCGGACACAUUGGGACUGAGAUACGGCCCAGACUCCUACGGGAGGCAGCAGUGGGGAAUAUUGCACAAUGGGCGGAAGCCUGAUGCAGCAACGCCGCGGGCGGGAUGACGGCCUUCGGGUUGUAAACCGCUUUCGCCUGUGACGAAGCGUGAGUGACGGUAAUGGGUAAAGAAGCACCGGCUAACUACGUG